rnacentral:piRNA from 1 species
UGGGAUAGACAGGACCAAAAAUAGCU